rnacentral:lncRNA from 1 species
UUACCUUGGGCAGUAUGGCCAUUUUCAUGAUAUUGAUUCUUCCUACCCAUGAGCAUGGAAUGUUCUUCCAUUUGUUUGUAUACUCUUUUAUUUCGUUGAGCAGUGGUUUGUAGUUCUCCUUGAAGAGGCCCUUCACGUCCCUUGUAAGUUGGAAUCCUAGGUAUUUUAUUCUCUUUGAAGCAAUUGUGAAUGGGAGUUCACUCAUGAUUUGGCUCUCAGUUUGUGUUAUUGGUGUAUAAGAAUGCUUGUGAUUUUUGUGCAUUGAUUUUGUAUCCUGAGACUUUGCUAAAGUUGCUGAAGGAGAUUUUGGGCUGAGACAAUGGGGUUUUCUAGAUAUACAAUCAUGUCAUCUGCAAACAGGGACAAUUUGAUUUCCUUUUAUCCUAAUUGAAUACCCUAAGUAUUUAGGAAUCUUCUCCAUUUCUUUUUAUCAGGUCAAAGUACAUAAGUACAUAUUUUAGGGUCUUCUGUUCUUGAGGGUUUUUUUUUUGUGUUUUUUGUUUUUUCUUUUCCUAUUGGAGGUUUGACACCUAUAUUUUUCUCUGACAUUUUGGAAAUUUGCUUCCCAAAGUCAAAAACAUAAUGCCUAACUUUUCCCGAUUUGGCCAACAUCAACUUUAAGAUUCUGUGGUUAUCUUUUUACCAAGAGAUUUGUCAGUUUUACUGCCCCAGUCAUUUCCUUUUUACUGAUUAGAAUUAGGCCUUUGUGUAGCUGUUCACCUAAUUACUUCCUCUACCUUGUGAAAAAGAGCAGGGACGCUAACAUUUGCUGGGUACCUACUACAUGCCAAAAGUACUUAAUCGUAUGCAGUAAUGUCAUUUAAUUUUCAAAACAACUCUCCAAAGGAAGUGUCACUCUCCUUGUUUGAUUUCUUGCUUCCCAAAUGGAAGGUCCUUUGUAUUAAUAGUAUCUGUCAAAUUUCAUACAAUACUUAAAUAUGUUCUUGAUACGUACUUCAAUAUAACCAACAGAAUGAGGCAGUAUUCGAUAAAGUAAAAAAUAAGAUGAAUAUUUCUAGUGAUUUAUAAGUUACUUGAGGAAAUCAUGCUGUUUAUUCUUUUCCUUUUUAGGUAUUCUUUGUGAAUUUGCUAUUUGUGUGUGAAUAUAUCUGUUGCGAUAAUGAAUAACCAUAUGAAAUGGAUAAUUGUAUGAAAAUUCAUUUGUAAUUCAAUAGAUUGCCAGGGAUUUUAGGUUGGUUAUGAAGGUUUGUUUUUUUUUUUUUUUUCUUUUGGAGAGUGGGGAGAUUGGCAUACAGUUUCAAAUUGUUUAUGUGGAAGUUGGAAGUGUGACUAAGCUCGAAGAAAGGAAGAGAGGGACAAAGAAAGGGAGGAGGUACCCCUAAGUGGGAACCUACCAGGACAUUCAAAGCAAGAGCAGUAAGUUCUGAAUGUUCUGGGACAACCUGGGUGAUAUGCAUGGAUAUGGGCUGUGGAGGCUGAGCAUUUUAAUGAUAACUUAGGGAAACGAGGCAUGGCCAUGGUGUAAAACUCUCAAAUCCCAAGCCCUAAUCCAACCUUAAAAUCCGAGUCUUCUAAAGGGCUGUUUUAACCAUGAAAGGACCAUAAGAAAGGCAAUUCACAGAAAAUGAAGCCAUGUGGCCAAGAAAUAUAAGAAAAACAGUAAAAGCCCUUAAUCUCAAUAGCAAUAGAGUGGAUGCAAAUGAAUAUAAUGAGUUGCCAUGUCGUUCUUACUGGAUUGGAAAAGAAAUUAGAAUGUCUAAAUAACAUGUAUCAUCCAGGAUGUGGGGAAAUGGGAGCUCUUGUACCCUGCAGGCAGGCAUUUAAAUUGGUGCAACCGCUUUGGAUUGCUGCUUUGUAGUAUCUGGUGCAACUGAAGAUGAACAUGCCCUGUGACACAGCAACCGCACUUCUAGGUCAAUACCCUAAUUAUAUUCUUACUGUGGUUCACAAGAAGGUAUGUAAGAGGUCAUUGCCUGAGCACUGUUUAGAAUAGGGGCAAACUGGAAAUCCUCUAAAUGUCUGUCAAUGAAGGAAUAGAUAAAUUGUAAUAUGUUCAUAUAAAAUGCUGCAUAAAUAAGUGAAAUUUAUAAAUAUACUAACGAAUGAAUCUUGAAAACAGAGUUGGGAGAUAAAAGCAAGCUGUUGAAGAACAUGGUCAGUAUCCUCUCACUUAUGUAAGUUAAAAACUCCAAAGAACAUUAUCUAUAUUGGUAAUGGCAUAGACAUGUGUGGUAAAAUAUAAAAAUAUUAACUAAAAGUUCUAUACGCUUCAGGAUAUUGUUAGUAUAAUAAGGCAGGAAGUGGAUAGCAUUGGGGUGAGACAGUGGUUUGGUGGUUAUGUUUGGUUACUUUAGUUAUGUUAGUAACAUUUUUUUUUUAAAGAAGGAUCUGGAAUAAUUAUGGUAAAAUAAUAGUAUUUGCUAAGACUAGAUGAUUGGUGUACUGGAUUUCAUCCGCUAUUUUCUAAGUUUGUUAUGAACGCUUAAAAUAUAUAUGUAUGUAGUAAAAUUAAUGUAAAUUUGUACAAAUAAAAAUAAAUGGCAUGUGAUAUAUGGC